CCUACGGGAGGCAGCAGUGGGGAAUCUUGCACAAUGGAGGAAACUCUGAUGCAGCGAUGCCGCGUGAGUGAAGAAGGCCUUUGGGUUGUAAAGCUCUUUUGUAGGGGAAGAUAAUGACUGUACCCUAAGAAUAAGGUCCGGCUAACUUCGUGCCAGCAGCCGCGGUAAUACGAAGGGACCUAGCGUAGUUCGGAAUUACUGGGCGUAAAGCGCGCGUAGGCCGUUGAGUUAGUUAAUUGUGAAAUCCCAAAGCUUAACUUUGGAACUGCAAUUAAAACUGCUCGACUAGAGUUUGAUAGAGGAAAGCGGAAUACAUAGUGUAGAGGUGAAAUUCGUAGAUAUUAUGUAGAACACCAGUUGCGAAGGCGGCUUUCUGGAUCAACACUGACGCUGAGGCGCGAAAGUAUGGGUAGCAAAGAGGAUUAGAUACCCUCGUAGUCCAUACCAUAAACGAUGAUUGCUAGAUGUUGGAAAUUUAUUUUCAGUAUCGCAGCUAACGCAUUAANANAUCNCUGGAGACGACGCAGUAACUACAANANAUAGAGCGNGAGAGNGCGAGACGACGACGAGGAGAG
rnacentral:rRNA from 1 species